GUAGGUGGCAAGCGUUGUCCGGGAAUUAUUGGGGCGUAAAGCGCGCGCAGGCGGUCCUUUAAGUCUGAUGUGAAAGCCCACGGGCUCAACCGUGGAGGGUCAUUGGAAACUGGGGGACUUGAGUACAGAAGAGGAAAGCGGAAUUCCACGUGUAGCGGUGAAAUGCGUAGAGAUGUGGAGGAACACCAGUGGCGAAGGCGGCUUUCUGGUCUGUAACUGACGCUGAGGCGCGAAAGCGUGGGGAGCAAACAGGAUUAGAUACCCUGGUAGUCCACGCCGUAAACGAUGAGUGCUAAGUGUUAGGGGGUUUCCGCCCCUUAGUGCUGCAGCUAACGCAUUAAGCACUCCGCCUGGGGAGUACGGCCGCAAAGGCUGA
rnacentral:rRNA from 1 species